UUUGACCUCAAAUCAGGUAGGACUACCCGCUGAACUUAAGCAUAUCAAUAAGCGGAGGAAAAGAAACUAACAAGGAUUCCCCUAGUAACUGCGAGUGAAGCGGGAAAAGCUCAAAUUUAAAAUCUGGCGGUCUCCGGCCGUCCGAGUUGUAAUCUAGAGAAGUGUUAUCCGCGCUGGACCGUGUACAAGUCUCCUGGAAUGGAGCGUCAUAGAGGGUGAGAAUCCCGUCUUUGACACGGACUGCCAGGGCUUUGUGAUGCGCUCUCAAAGAGUCGAGUUGUUUGGGAAUGCAGCUCAAAAUGGGUGGUAAAUUCCAUCUAAAGCUAAAUAUUGGCGAGAGACCGAUAGCGAACAAGUACCGUGAGGGAAAGAUGAAAAGAACUUUGGAAAGAGAGUUAAACAGUACGUGAAAUUGCUGAAAGGGAAACGCUUGAAGUCAGUCGCGUUGGCCGGGGAUCAACCUUGCUUUUGCUGGGCGUACUUUCCGGUUGACGGGUCAGCAUCAAUUUUGACCGUUGGAUAAAGUCCAGGGGAAUGUGGCAUCUUCGGAUGUGUUAUAGCCCUUGGUCGCAUACAACGGUUGGGAUUGAGGAACUCAGCACGCCGCAAGGCCGGGUACUUGUACCACGUUCGUGCUCAGGAUGCUGGCAUAAUGGCUUUAAUCGACCCGUCUUGAAACACGGACCAAGGAGUCUAACAUGCCUGCGAGUGUUUGGGUGGAAAACUCGGACGCGUAAUGAAAGUGAAAGUUGAGAUCCCUGUCGCGGGGAGCAUCGACGCCCGGACCAGACCUUUUGUGACGGAUCCGCG
rnacentral:rRNA from 1 species